AUUCCACACAGGAAGAUCACACCAUCCCCCACCAUCAUCAGCAAUCCUAUCAUUUUGGGGUUCAGGAUGAAGAACUGAAAGACAUCAAAGUUGAGGUAAAAGAGGAAGAAGAAGAGACGAUGGUGAGUGGGGAUCAGCAGUCUAUGGACAAGCAGGAGAUGAUUAUGAAAAGUGAACAGGCGGAAUCUUCACUUUAUAUCGACACAUCACCGGAUGGAUCCAGUAAUGGGAACCCACCAGAGAGAUGUCCCCG